CUCACCCUCAGGCCUAGCCUGGUGUUGGGGCGCCACCGUCUGUGGGCCCCUAAAGUCAGUGGCGGGCUUGUCUAGGACCCGAGCGUAGUAGCUUUAUUACAUCUCGCUUAGGGAGUCUGGCGUGCUCUAGCCGUAAAACACCCCUUCUGAA
rnacentral:misc_RNA from 1 species